GUAGGCAGCGAGCGUUGUUCGGAGUUACUGGGCGUAAAGGGUGUGUAGGCGGUUCUUUAAGUUUGGUGUGAAAUCUCCCGGCUCAACUGGGAGGGUGCGCCGAAUACUGAGGGACUAGAGUGCGGGAGAGGAAAGUGGAAUUCCUGGUGUAGCGGUGAAAUGCGUAGAUAUCAGGAGGAACACCGGUGGUGUAGACGGCUUUCUGGACCGUAACUGACGCUGAGACACGAAAGCGUGGGUAGCAAACAGGAUUAGAUACCCUGGUAGUCCACGCCCUAAACGAUGCAUAUUUGGUGUGGGCAGUUCAUUCUGUCCGUGCCGGAGCUAACGCGUUAAAUAUGCCGCCUGGGGAGUACAGUCGCAAGGCUG
rnacentral:rRNA from 1 species